CUCCCGGACCCCAUUCUGUUCCUGGGGAUUUGCCCUUCCCACCAGAGCACCGUCAGACUCAGUUUCUUUACUUCUAGAAGAAAAUGACUCAUUGGGUCCUCUAAAAGUUCUCCACCAACCACUAGGAAUGCCCUUGUCCUGGUGGCACAUUCCCAGGAAAGUAAACUCUGCUGGCUCAGCCUAUCAGUGGACUGGCUCCCCUCUGGCCAUAUCAUCAGUUAACCUUCUGUCAGGGUAAUGGAAGCCUUCCCUGUAUGCCAGGAUGCAGGCUUUUAUGUCAUGGAAUAGGAGGACCACACAGCCGUUGGAAAGAAUGGAAGAUGGACCAUCAGGCAAAAAAGUGUGUCAUCUCAGCCUGCACAGCCAAGCAGUGGUUUUCAAGAACUCACCCCAAAAUCAUUAAGAAUCUCAAGAUCUUUGGGGUUACCCACCCAUUUAUCUCUAUCCACAACGGGGAGAUUCUCAAGAAGUUUGCCAAGGAGAUGCUUCUACAAUCAAGAACCUUCUGGAAGCUCCCACUCCAUGUUAGCCUGCAGCACAGAUGAGUGAUUCACAGAAGUGGCUGCAAGCUCUCUCAGCUGCCUGUAUCCCCAAAACGGUGGUUGGCAGGAACUUGCCCAGACACUGCUGUGAACCCUGGGUCUGCCUACAGAUGCUUCCAGACAAUAAUUAUUUCUUCUCUUCUGUCUGCUAAGUCUCAUGAGCACCUCUUACUAGAAAACUCUGACCAGAACCCUAUGUGGAGGGGGAUUCUGGAAAAUGCUGUUCUAAGCUUCUCCUGUGUGAUAUGGAGGAGAUGGGGGGAGGGGAUGGUGGUAAGCUGAGCGUGGGGGCGUGCACAUGUGAGUGUGUGUGCAUGUGUACAUGCCUGUAUGUGCGCAUAUCCAGUGAGAAAACAGACAGGUCUUGGGAACUGGGGCAUGGUCUAGCCAUCACUUAAUACCAGAAAAAGCAGAUUUCCCAGACUUUCCUUUCUUGCCCUUUCCUACAUAAUCUGACAACAGUUCGUCUCAGCUUGCUUAAGAAAGCUCACCACAACAGAUCCAAAGAACUCGUCUGUAGCUAACAUUUGAUGUUCUCAUCUCCUCUGCAUUCCCUCCUCCUUCUGCUUGGCCUAGGCCCUUGCUUUAAUGUGCGCAGCCAUAUUCUCUGUGAGAAUGACUUAGCUGCACAGGCAUGGGAGUCAGGACUAUCUAGUCAACCCACUGCUCCAGCCUGGGGGCCCAGCGUUUGACAGAAUCGGGAGGGCAGCCAGGCCCAGCCAGUCAAGUCAUCCCUGGAUGGGAAUUGGGGGAGGAUUACAAAAGUAUCCAUGAUUACAAAAUGUGAGGCCAGGAUUCACAAGAGAUGUAGACAGCACAGAGACUUGAUCAUCUCUUUUAUAUCCCCAGAUUCAGCAACCAACAUCUGAGGUCAGUUCUUCUAGCAUUUUCAUUACACAUGCCAAUAAAUCUCUCAUUUUAUUUAAGUCUAUUUGAGUUAAAUGUCUCUGUCAAACAUCUUAACUAGUAAAUAAACGUAACUAAAUCUGGUCUA